UUCUCCGAUCGGAGGUUCGCCGGAGUGGUGAUCUCCGCCGCCUCGCCUCCCCUCCCUUCUUCCGACCUUCGGGACGGUGACCUCCCGGUGUCUCCCAUGGCGGAGCUCUCUGCAUCGCGCCUUCAGCCCCGCGGUCGCAACUUCGAUCCGUUCCGCAUCGCGUCUGAAUAUCUCCGUCGAGCGAUCCCAUCCCAUCGAAUCGCUGGAUUUCCAUCGUUGCCGAGCGCCAUCAUGGCGAGAUCCUUGGGAGUCCUUCAUCGGAUCUUCAUUUAAUCAACAGUUCAGUGGAUUCAAGCAAAUCGAUGAAGCAAAUAGUUCCCGCUGGCAUCGACGUGUCGGGAUCAGGAGGAGCCUGAGAAGCUUGCGAGUGGUUUCCGAAGCCGAUGGCGGUAGCAGAAAUCUCGGCUCGUCCUCCGUUGCUGCAUUUUCUUCGUUGAUGCAUCUUCGUCGCCAUUCGUUCUGAUUGAGAAGUUUGAAUCUCUCCUUCGAUCAUAAAUCUCUGACCAAUUCUGAUUGUGGUUGCUCGGUUCUUACAUCCUCAUACAUUGUGGUAAUCGUACGUCUGAAGAAGCUCUACGAGGUGGUUUGCCUAUUGAAGCCCGGUCAUGAGGGACCGGUUUACCUGCGGAUCGUCGAGCAGGGGUCGAAUGCGAUCAAGGCCAUUGGUGUUCUGCUCCAUGAUCAAGCCUUACACCAUGUGCGGUCAAAUGGACAAUGCACGGUGACUGUUUGAUGAUAUGCCUCAGAGGAAUAACUUCACUGGGAAAACGACGGUUGAAGGAUGCAUGAGGAUGGGAGAGGCGGCUGAGUCUCUGGAUAUGUUAGUUACAUGCCGUGCAGGGAUGAUUUCUCUUGGAACGCAGUGAUUUCAUGCUUUGCCAAGAGUGGCGAUCUUCGGACCGUCUCUUGUUUUUCUUAAUGCCAUGCCCGGGAAGAAUGCAUUUGCUUGAAAUUCCAUGAUCAUGGUUAUGGCAAGAAUAGGAGACCCACGGAAGCCCUUAGGUAUUUCAAAGACAUGAAUUCAGAUCCUUUUGAGAGAUAGGCGCAGGAGUGACAAUUUCCAGGACAAUCACAUGAAGCAGAAAUGGGACACAUUCAUUGGCCAUGAGCUUAUAAGGAGUGGCAAUUGUACGUUGCUUCAAGAAGGGACAAUGGUGAUUCAUAUUGUAUAUUUCUAACACAAAUCAAGGGAAGUAAAAGGGUCUGUUGAGGUUGGUUUCUUUUGUUUGGCUUUGUUCAUGGGCUGGUGAGAAGUUUAGAAUCGUUCAAAACCAGACGUCUUCUCUGCCGCAUGACUCAUUUGUCAUGUCUUGGUCAAUUGCACUUGAGAUUGGAAGGUUCUGGUUACCUGCUCAACUCUAUAACCAUUAAAAAUGGGCAUGCUAGGUUUAUGUUGUUUUGCUAUGAUGUUGAGCUCAACUACUAUUUAGAAAUGGACACCUUCAGAGCCAGAUCGAAUAAGAAUCAUCUUGUGUCUUGGAAUAUCAUGAUCUCCAGCUGUGUUCAAGUAAAUUUUGGGUACAUCAAUGAUCUUGACCUUCUUGGUUGAGUCAGAUAUCUUAAUUAGGCGGGAACGACCAAUUCGAAAAAAACAUAUAUCAUCGCAUCAUCAUCUCGCCCUCAUCUCCCCGCACCGAUAUUGAAGGCAACGAAUAAGUUAUCACAAUUGCCACCUAUGUCAUGAGUCGCCCUCGCCGGAGUUGUGUGGAGUUUGUCAAUGUCAACCUAUACCCUUCAUAGGUCGUAGUGUCAACCACUAGCAACAACGUCUUGAAGACUGUGGUUCUCAAUUCAAUUGGUGUUCGUGGUCAAAUAUUGCAUCUACCAGGCACGAGUAUCCUUCGUCUAACCUGGCUAGUCGAGUCUGAAAAACGUGAUUGAGGCUCAUGUAAAGUGAAAUUCGUCUCUAGUUAAAGCUUUAUCAAAGUUUCAAAUGUGUAUUGAUGUUUUAGUGAUGACCUGAUAGUGAUUCUUUGCCUUAUAUUUAAGUAGAAGUGCAUUAAUCGAAGUGCAUGGCACCUAUUUAAUGAAAUGUCUGAGUGACAUCAUAAUAUAUGUUCUCUGAAGGAAACAAGUUCAAUAGCCAUUUCGUUCAAUGUUUUACUUCUCA